CCCUUAGAUGUUCUGGGCAGCACGCGCGCUACAAUGGUCUUCGCAAACGGAUGCAUUCUCGAAGGAGAAUGCCCAUCUUGGAAUCUAUGCCUUGGUCGGGACAGUUGCUUGCAAUUUUUCGACUCGAACCAGGAAUUCCUUGUAAUCGUGAUUCAUCACAUCACGAUGAAUACGUCCCUGCCCUUUGUACACACCGCCCGUCGCUCCUACCGAUCGAAGAGUUAGGUGAAUUGUUUUGAUCGAUAAGAUUUGACUAUGGUCAACUCUCGUUGUGAAAUUCUGUGAAUCUGACUGUUUAGAGGAAGGAAAAGUCGUAACA
rnacentral:rRNA from 1 species